CUACGGAGGGAGCAAGCGUUAUUCGGAAUCACUGGGCGUAAAGGACGCGUAGGCGGGUUUGUAAGUCAGGUGUGAAAUCCUACAGCUCAACUGUAGAACUGCACUUGAAACUACAGACCUAGAGUAUGGAAGGGGCAGAUGGAAUUAGUGGUGUAGGGGUAAAAUCCGUAGAUAUCACUAGGAAUACCGAAAGCGAAGGCGAUCUGCUGGGACAUUACUGACGCUGAGGCGUGAAAGCGUGGGGAGCAAACAGGAUUAGAAACCCCGGUAGUCC
rnacentral:rRNA from 1 species